rnacentral:tRNA from 1 species
UUAAUUGAAGCCAAAUUAGAGGCCUAUCACUGUUAAUGAUAAAACUGAAUUCAAUAUUCCAAUUAAG